rnacentral:rRNA from 1 species
AAGCAUUAUACAGCGAAACUGCGAAUGGCUCAUUAUAUAAGUUAUCGUUUAUUUGAUAGUACCUUACUACUUGGAUAACCGUGGUAAUUCUAGAGGCUAAUACAAUGCUAAAAAUCCCGACUUCGGAAGGGAUGUAUUUAUUAGAUUAAAAACCAAUGCCCUCUGGGCUCCUUGGUGAUUCAUAAUAACUUUUCGAAUCGCAUGGCCUUGCGCCGGCGAUGGUUCAUUCAAAUUUCUUCCCUAUCAACUUUCGAUGUUUGGGUAUUGGCCAAACAUGGUCGCAACGGGUAACGGAGGGUUAGGGCUCGACCCCGGAGAAGGAGCCUGAGAAACGGCUACUACAUCCAAGGAAGGCAGCAGGCGCGCAAAUUACCCAAUCCCGAUUCGGGGAGGUAGUGACAAUAAAUACUGAUACAGGGCUCUUUUGGGUCUUGUAAUUGGAAUGAGUACAAUUUAAAUCUCUUAACGAGGAACAAUUGGAGGGCAAGUCUGGUGCCAGCAGCCGCGGUAAUUCCAGCUCCAAUAGCGUAUAUUAAAGUUGUUGUGGUUAAAAAGCUCGUAGUUGAACCUUGGGCCUGGCUGGCCGGUCCGCCUCACCGCGUGUACUGGUCCGGCCGGGCCUUUCCCUCUGUGGAACCCCAUGCCCUUCACUGGGUGUGGCGGGGAAACAGGACUUUUACUUUGAAAAAAUUAGAGUGCUCCAGGCAGGCCUAUGCUCGAAUACAUUAGCAUGGAAUAAUGAAAUAGGACGUGUGGUUCUAUUUUGUUGGUUUCUAGGACCGCCGUAAUGAUUAAUAGGGACAGUCGGGGGCAUCAGUAUUCAAUUGUCAGAGGUGAAAUUCUUGGAUUUAUUGAAGACUAACUACUGCGAAAGCAUUUGCCAAGGAUGUUUUCAUUAAUCAGGAACGAAAGUUAGGGGAUCGAAGACGAUCAGAUACCGUCGUAGUCUUAACCAUAAACUAUGCCGACUAGGGAUCGGACGAUGUUAUUUUUUGACGCGUUCGGCACCUUACGAGAAAUCAAAGUGCU